CCCUUAGAUGUUCUGGGCCGCACGCGCGCUACACUGAUGCAUUCAACGAGUCUAAAACCUGCUCUGAUAGGGGUGGGUAAUCUUUUGAAUGUGCAUCGUGAUUGGGAUAGAUGAUUGCAAUUUUUCAUCUUCAACGAGGAAUGCCUAGUAAACGCAAGUCAUCAGCUUGCAUUGAUUACGUCCCCGCCCUUUGUACACACCGCCCGUCGCUCCUACCGAUUGAAUGAUCCGAUGAAUAUCAUAGACUGAGAGUAUAAGCAGGUUCGCCUGUCUUUGCUUCUCGGGAAGUGAAGUAAAUCUUAUCAUUUAGAGGAAGGAGAAGUCGUAACA
rnacentral:rRNA from 1 species